CACGUAGGGCGCAAGCGUUGUCCGGAAUUAUUGGGCGUAAAGAGCUCGUAGGCGGUCUGUUGCGUCUGCUGUGAAAACCCGGGGCUUAACCCUGGCCUUGCAGUGGAUACGGGCAGACUAGAGGUAGGUAGGGGAGAAUGGAAUUCCUGGUGUAGCGGUGGAAUGCGCAGAUAUCAGGAGGAACACCAAUAGCGAAGGCAGCUCGCUGGGACGGUACUGACGCUAAGGCGCGAAAGCGUGGGGAGCGAACAGG
rnacentral:rRNA from 1 species